AGCAGCCGCGGUAAUUCCAGCUCCAAUAGCGUAUAUUAAAGUUGUUGCAGUUAAAAAGCUCGUAGUUGAAUUUCGGAGUUUGUCGGUUGGUCGGGCUUCACUGUCCGCUCUGGCCCGAUGGAUUCCUACCUUCUGAAUAACCAGCAUGCUAUUAAGUUAGUGCGUUGGGGAAGCAGAGCUAUUACCUUGAAAAAAUUAGAGUGCUUAAAGCAGGCUUACGCUUGAAUAGAUUAGCAUGGAAUAAUAAAAUAGGACGGCAUGGUUCUAUUUUGUUGGUUUCUAGGAUCACCGUAAUGAUUAAUAGGGAUAGUUGGGGGCAUUAGUAUUCAAUUGUCAGAGGUGAAAUUCUUGGAUUUAUUGAAGACUAACUUCUGCGAAAGCAUUUGCCAAGGAUGUUUUCAUUAAUCAAGAACGAAAGUUAGGGGAUCGAAGACGAUCAGAUACCGUCGUAGUCUUAACCAUAAACUAUGCCGACUAGGGAUCGGAUGA
rnacentral:rRNA from 1 species